AACGAACGCUGGCGGCAGGCUUAACACAUGCAAGUCGAACGCAUCCUUCGGGGCGAGUGGCAGACGGGUGAGUAACGCGUGGGAACGUGCCCUUCAGUUCGGGAUAACCCAGGGAAACUUGGGCUAAUACCGGAUACGUGCGAGAGCGGAAAGAUUUAUCGCUGAAGGAUCGGACCGCGUCUGAUUAGCUAGUUGGUGGGGUAAUGGCCCACCAAGGCGACGAUCAGUAGCUGGUCUGAGAGGAUGAUCAGCCACAUUGGGACUGAGACACGGCCCAAACUCCUACGGGAGGCAGCAGUGGGGAAUAUUGGACAAUGGGCGCAAGCCUGAUCCAGCCAUGCCGCGUGAGUGAUGAAGGCCUUGGGGUUGUAAAGCUCUUUCGUCCGGGACGAUAAUGACGGUACCGGAAGAAGAAGCCCCGGCUAACUUCGUGCCAGCCGCCGCCGUAA
rnacentral:rRNA from 1 species